rnacentral:rRNA from 1 species
CGAGCGGAAGGCCCUUCGGGGUACUCGAGCGGCGAACGGGUGAGUAACACGUGAGUAACCUGCCCCCGACUCUGGGAUAAGCCCGGGAAACUGGGUCUAAUACCGGAUACGACCACUUCCCGCAUGGGAUGGUGGUGGAAAGUUUUUUCGGUUGGGGAUGGACUCGCGGCCUAUCAGCUUGUUGGUGGGGUAAUGGCCUACCAAGGCGACGACGGGUAGCCGGCCUGAGAGGGCGACCGGCCACACUGGGACUGAGACACGGCCCAGACUCCUACGGGAGGCAGCAGUGGGGAAUAUUGCGCAAUGGGCGAAAGCCUGACGCAGCGACGCCGCGUGGGGGAUGACGGCCUUCGGGUUGUAAACCUCUUUCAGCAGGGACGAAGUUGACGUGUACCUGCAGAAGAAGCGCCGGCUAACUACGUGCCAGCAGCCGCGGUAAUACGUAGGGCGCAAGCGUUGUCCGGAAUUAUUGGGCGUAAAGAGCUCGUAGGUGGCUUGUCACGUCGGGUGUGAAAGCUUGGGGCUUAACUCCAGGUCUGCAUUCGAUACGGGCUGGCUAGAGGUAGGUAGGGGAGAACGGAAUUCCUGGUGUAGCGGUGAAAUGCGCAGAUAUCAGGAGGAACACCGGUGGCGAAGGCGGUUCUCUGGGCCUUACCUGACGCUGAGGAGCGAAAGCGUGGGGAGCGAACAGGAUUAGAUACCCUGGUAGUCCACGCUGUAAACGUUGGGCGCUAGGUGUGGGGACCUUCCACGGUUUCCGCGCCGUAGCUAACGCAUUAGC